rfam:Penicillium freii strain DAOM 242723 scaffold_140, whole genome shotgun sequence.
AGCAUGUUAGCUCAGGGGAAGAGCGCCGGGCUCAUAACCCGGAGGUACGUUUCACCGCAAACAAUUUCCCAAACAACAUCCAACUAACAAUCACAAUAGGACCCUGGAUCGAAACCAGGACAUGCUA